rnacentral:rRNA from 1 species
AUUGAACGCUGGCGGCAGGCCUAACACAUGCAAGUCGAACGAGCGGCGGACGGGUGAGUAAUGUCUGGGAAUCUGCCUGAUGGAGGGGGAUAACUACUGGACACGGUAACUAAUACCGCAUACCAUCAGAUGUGCCCAUAUGGGAUUAGCUGGUUGGUGGGGUAACGGCUCACCUAGGCGACGAUCCCUAGCUGGUCUGAGAGGAUGACCAGCCACACUGGAACUGAGACACGGCCCAGACUCCUACGGGAGGCAGCAGUGGGGAAUAUUGCACAAUGGGCGCAAGCCUGAUGCAGCCAUGCCGCGUGUAUGAAGAAGGCCUUCGGGUUGUAAAGUACUUUCAGUCGGGAGGCGUUACCGACAGAAGAAGCACCGGCUAACUCCGUGCCAGCAGCCGCGGUAAUAC